GUCCAGGGAUGGGAAUCGAAACCGCAGUGUUCCGCUUACCGGGCAGAUGCCAUGUCCACUAGGCUACCCUGGA
rnacentral:tRNA from 1 species